GCAGGAGUGGAAGGAGAAAUUGUUUCAGGUGGACAAGAUUACUACAAAGUCCAACACAUUCCAAGUGUUCAAUUUUUCAACUAUGAUGAGAAUAAUCAGUAGCAGGUAACGAGAAAUUGUUUAAUAAUGUUCACUUUGUUGGCUCUACGUUCUAUUUGGAUUCAUGUGAAAGUCUUGUGGACAGUCGCAAUUUACAUACAUUGUUCUAACAUGGAUCAUCUCUGAAAUAGAUGCAGGAUAAAUGAACAAGAAGCUAACCAAAUUCUCUUAUUAAGUACUCUCCAGAAUCACAUGCGAAACAUCAAGGGUUCAAUAAGAGAUAAAGGUUGCUUCAUAAGAGUCAUCUACUCGUCUGCUGAUCAACAGGUUUUCGCGUAGUUACUCUGGAACUGAUUAUGAAGAAUACAAAUUCUGAAGUAUCAAUAAGUUGCCAAGUCUUGGAUUAGUCUCACAGCUCUCACUCGUUAUGUUGUGGCUCAGAAUAUCAAGAACUAUUUCAUAUAAAUAAUGCUUGAGAACUCUUUCAUGGAGAAACGAACCUUGGAUGUUUCGGCAAAACAAUAUAUUUUCUCAGGGGAAAAGGAAAACACAAACAAGUCGAGAUAGAUUCCUAGUCGAAACUUU
rnacentral:lncRNA from 1 species